GGUUAAGCGACCAAGCGUACACGGUGGAUGCCCUGGCAGUCAGAGGCGAUGAAGGACGUGCUAAUCUGCGAUAAGCGCCGGUAAGGUGAUAUGAACCGUUAUAACCGGCGAUUUCCGAAUGGGGGAAACCCAGUGUGACUCGUCACACUAUCAUUAACUGAAUCCAUAGGUUAAUGAGGCGAACCGGGGGAACUGAAACAUCUAAGUACCCCGAGGAAAAGAAAUCAACCGAGAUUCCCCCCAGUAGCGGCGAGCGAACGGGGAGGAGCCCAGAGCCUGAAUCAGCAUGUGUGUUAGUGGAAGCGUCUGGAAAGGCGCGCGAUACAGGGUGACAGCCCCGUACACAAAAGCGCAUGUGCUGUGAGCUCGAUGAGUAGGGCGGGACACGUGGUAUCCUGUCUGAAUAUGGGGGGGACCAUCCUCCAAGGCUAAAUACUCCUGACUGACCGAUAGUGAACCAGUACCGUGAGGGAAAGGCGAAAAGAACCCCGGCGAGGGGAGUGAAACAGAACCUGAAACCGUGUACGUACAAGCAGUGGGAGCACAGGUUUACCUGUGUGACUGCGUACCUUUUGUAUAAUGGGUCAGCGACUUAUAUUCUGUAGCAAGGUUAACCGUAUAGGGGAGCCGAAGGGAAACCGAGUCUUAAUUGGGCGUUAAGUUGCAGGGUAUAGACCCGAAACCCGGUGAUCUAGCCAUGGGCAGGUUGAAGGUUGGGUAACACUAACUGGAGGACCGAACCGACUAAUGUUGAAAAAAUUAGCGGAUGACCUGUGGCUGGGGGGUGAAAGGCCAAUCAAACCGGGAGAUAGCUGGUUCUCCCCGAAAGCUAUUUAGGUAGCGCCUCGUGAAUUCAUCUCCGGGGGUAGAGCACUGUUUCGGCUAGGGGGCCAUCCCGGCUUACCAACCCGAUGCAAACUGCGAAUACCGGAGAAUGUUAUCACGGGAGACACACGGCGGGUGCUAACGUCCGUCGUGAAGAGGGAAACAACCCAGACCGCCAGCUAAGGUCCCAAAGUCAUGGUUAAGUGGGAAACGAUGUGGGAAGGCCCAGACAGCCAGGAUGUUGGCUUAGAAGCAGCCAUCAUUUAAAGAAAGCGUAAUAGCUCACUGGUCGAGUCGGCCUGCGCGGAAGAUGUAACGGGGCUAAACCAUGCACCGAAGCUGCGGCAGCGAACGUAUCACUUAAAACGAUUCAGAAGCUUACGAUUGACGGAGCGAAGCGACGUCAAAGCGUAUACAAAGUCGAGUCGGUUUAAGGAUACGUUCGUUGGGUAGGGGAGCGUUCUGUAAGCCUGUGAAGGUGGCCUGUGAGGGUUGCUGGAGGUAUCAGAAGUGCGAAUGCUGACAUAAGUAACGAUAAAGCGGGUGAAAAGCCCGCUCGCCGGAAGACCAAGGGUUCCUGUCCAACGUUAAUCGGGGCAGGGUGAGUCGACCCCUAAGGCGAGGCCGAAAGGCGUAGUCGAUGGGAAACGGGUUAAUAUUCCCGUACUUGGUGUUACUGCGAAGGGGGGACGGAGAAGGCUAUGUUGGCCGGGCGACGGUUGUCCCGGUUUAAGCGUGUAGGUGUGUGUUCCAGGUAAAUCCGGUUCACUUUAACACUGAGGCGUGACGACGAGGCACCACGGUGCUGAAGCAACAAAUGCCCUGCUUCCAGGAAAAGCCUCUAAGCAUCAGGUAACAUCAAAUCGUACCCCCAAACCGACACAGGUGGUCAGGUAGAGAAUACCAAGGCGCUUGAGAGAACUCGGGUGAAGGAACUAGGCAAAAUGGUGCCGUAACUUCGGGAGAAGGCACGCUGACACGUAGGUGAAGUGAUUUACUCACGGAGCUGAAGUCAGUCGAAGAUACCAGCUGGCUGCAACUGUUUAUUAAAAACACAGCACUGUGCAAACACGAAAGUGGACGUAUACGGUGUGACGCCUGCCCGGUGCCGGAAGGUUAAUUGAUGGGGUCAGCGCAAGCGAAGCUCCUGAUCGAAGCCCCGGUAAACGGCGGCCGUAACUAUAACGGUCCUAAGGUAGCGAAAUUCCUUGUCGGGUAAGUUCCGACCUGCACGAAUGGCGUAAUGAUGGCCAGGCUGUCUCCACCCGAGACUCAGUGAAAUUGAACUCGCUGUGAAGAUGCAGUGUACCCGCGGCAAGACGGAAAGACCCCGUGAACCUUUACUAUAGCUUGACACUGAACAUUGAGCCUUGAUGUGUAGGAUAGGUGGGAGGCUUUGAAGCGUGGACGCCAGUCUGCGUGGAGCCAACCUUGAAAUACCACCCUUUAAUGUUUGAUGUUCUAACGUGGACCCGUGAUCCGGGUUGCGGACAGUGUCUGGUGGGUAGUUUGACUGGGGCGGUCUCCUCCUAAAGAGUAACGGAGGAGCACGAAGGUUGGCUAAUCCUGGUCGGACAUCAGGAGGUUAGUGCAAUGGCAUAAGCCAGCUUGACUGCGAGCGUGACGGCGCGAGCAGGUGCGAAAGCAGGUCAUAGUGAUCCGGUGGUUCUGAAUGGAAGGGCCAUCGCUCAACGGAUAAAAGGUACUCCGGGGAUAACAGGCUGAUACCGCCCAAGAGUUCAUAUCGACGGCGGUGUUUGGCACCUCGAUGUCGGCUCAUCACAUCCUGGGGCUGAAGUAGGUCCCAAGGGUAUGGCUGUUCGCCAUUUAAAGUGGUACGCGAGCUGGGUUUAGAACGUCGUGAGACAGUUCGGUCCCCUAUCUGCCGUGGGCGCUGGAGAACUGAGGGGGGCUGCUCCUAGUACGAGAGGACCGGAGUGGACGCAUCACUGGUGUUCGGGUUGUCAUGCCAAUGGCACUGCCCGGUAGCUAAAUGCGGAAGAGAUAAGUGCUGAAAGCAUCUAAGCACGAAACUUGCCCCGAGAUAAGUUCUCCCUGAGACUUUAAGUCUCCUGAAGGAACGUUGAAGACGACGACGUUGAUAGGCCGGGUGUGUAAGCGCAGCGAUGCGUUGAGCUAACCGGUACUAAUGAACCGUGAGGCUUAACCUU
rnacentral:rRNA from 1 species